rnacentral:lncRNA from 1 species
ACGUAAACAAAUAAAUCAAAACCAUUAUUAAAACCAAAAACAAAACACCAUUUCUCUUGUAUCUACUUCUUGUUGUAUUUUUCGUUUUUUUUCAUUUGUUUCUUUAUUCACUAUUUUGUCAAACUCUUCAAUAAUUGUAGCACAAUCAUGUGAACGUGUCAUUCAUGGCACAGCGGCCAACACAGAGCGAGAGUUUUUGCUUCGCACAUCCCCAGCAUGCAAGCAAGCAAGCAAUGCUACAAUCAACAAACAAAGUCCCUGUCUACGAAGUCAACCCCACAAAAUGAAAAAUGCGACAAAAUAAGUCCACCAUUAAAGUGCAACGACAAAGAAAGGUCAGAGCACUGUGUAAAACUGUAAACUUCUCCGCCUCAACAAC